CCUACGGGAGGCAGCAGUGGGGAAUAUUGCACAAUGGGGGAAACCCUGAUGCAGCGACGCCGCGUGAGUGAAGAAGUACCACGGUACGUAAAGCUCCAUCAGCAGGGAAGAAAAUGACGGUACCUGACUAAGAAGCACCGGCUAACUACGUGCCAGCAGCCGCGGGAAUACGUAGGGGGCAAGCGUUAUCCGGAUUUACUGGGUGUAAAGGGAGUGUAGAGGGGUGCACAAGUCUGGAGGUAAUUCCCGGGGCUUAACCCCGGAACUGCCUUUGAAACUGUGCGGCUGGAGUGCAAGAGGGGUAAGCGGAAUGCCCGGUGUAGCGGUGAAAUGCAUAGAUAUCAGGAAGAACUCCGAUUGCGAAGGCAGCAUACUGGACUGUAACUGACGUUGAGGCACGAAAGCGUGGGGAGCGAACAGGAUUAGAUACCCUAGUAGUC
rnacentral:rRNA from 1 species